UACGGAGGAUGCAAGCGUUAUCCGGAUUCAUUGGGUUUAGAGGGUGCGUAGGCGGACUAUUAAGUCAGUGGUGAAAGCCUGCAGCUUAACUGCAGAACUGCCAUUGAUACUGAUAGUCUUGAGUUUGGUUAAGGUAGGCGGAAUGUGUAAUGUAGCGGUGAAAUGCUUAGAUAUUACACAGAACACCAAUUGCGUAGGCAGCUUACUGAGCCGACACUGACGCUGAGGCACGAAAGCGUGGGGAUCGAA
rnacentral:rRNA from 1 species